CCUACGGGUGGCAGCAGUGAGGAAUAUUGGUCAAUGGGCGCGAGCCUGAACCAGCCAAGUAGCGUGAAUGAUGACUGCCCUACGGUUUGUAAACUUCUUUUAUAAAGGAAUAAAGUGAGGCACGUGUGCCUUUUCGCAUUUACGUUAUGAAUAAGGAUCGGCUAACUCCGUUCCAGCCGCCGCGGUAAUACGGAGGAGCCGAGCGUUAUCCGGAUUUAUUGGGUUAAACGGGUUCGGAGGCGGAUCGUUAAGUCAGUGGUCAAAUUGAGGGGCGAACCCCCUUCCCGCCAUUGAAACUGGCGUUCUUGAGUGGAAGAGAGGUAUGCGGAAUGCGUGGUGUAGCGGUGAAAUGCAUAGAGAUCACGCAGAACCCCGAUGGCGAAGGCAGCAUGCCGGCUUCCGACUGACGCUGAGGCGCGAAAGCGUGGGGAUCGAACAGGAUUAGAUACCCGGGUAGUC
rnacentral:rRNA from 1 species